rnacentral:lncRNA from 1 species
GAGCGCAGAAGCCCAGUCGGCUGCAGCCCCUGUCGUGCUGGCCGAUCACCGUCACCGACCUAGAGCGCCCGGGCGCAGUGCCCGCCCGCUGGUGCGCUCAGCGCUGUGCCCUGCGGAGAAGAAAGACGAAAACCACUCGCUCCUUCCCACAAAGAAGGAACCCUGGCGGCCAGGGUGAGACGUCUCCCCGGCCAGCACCGGGAGGCCAGGGGCACCCAGCAGGCUCGGGGUGCAAGGCCCGCCCCAGGAAAAGGCAGAGUGGGAGAAGGGCGGCGAAAGGGGGACGGGCGCAAAGAAGGAAGCUGAGAAGGGUACCUUCUUGGAGGGCUCUUGGAAUUAAACAAGAGGGUAAGAAGCUCAACAAAUGGCAGGUAUUUGCAUUUACAAUCUCUUAUCUAUUAAGUCCCAAAUCCAAAAACCUCUGAAAACC